rnacentral:ncRNA from 1 species
UUCAUCAAGAGUUGACUGAGGGAAUGGCCCUAUGAAGUCGCGGCAACCAUCCAUUGGAAACGGUGCCAAUUCCAACGAAACCUGUGUUUCGACAGAUGAA